GCGAGUCAGAAUUUUACAUCAGAGUCAGAGGUGGUGCUGUAGAAACUACAUCUUUCCCACAGGUCUCAGGUCCUGGUGAGCAACCCUCCCUCCUUGUUAGAACCCCUGAUACCUGGAGCCUUCUGGUGUGCAGGUGGCUUUGCUGGGUGAUCUCUGCUGCCCUCUGGUGGUGGCUCCACGCUGGCUGCUGGAGGCGCGGGGAAGUCCUUUGCCCCGCUGGAGAUUCAGAACCCCAGCUCAGAGUAGGAUUCCCUGAUUGAUGCACUGCUGUCCUCAGGGGAGGAACUGCUCUUCUCUACAUGGCCCCUGCCACUCUCAAGGCCAGACUUCAGGAGAUGAGAGUAUCCAUGAAAAUAGGAACAGGCCAAUGGGAGGAGCAGGAGUGAUUCCUAUGUGACUUCCUGAGCAAACUGAAGGGGAAGCAACAGCCUUUUUGUAGCUUCCAGUCACUGAGGCUUAACUGCUGGGUCAUCUCCUUCGCAUAUGACAGUGACCACAUUGCAGUGGCUGCACCUUUCAUCUCCCUUCAGUUUCUGACUCCUGUGCCAGCUUUUUCCCAAGGCACUCAUUUCACAUCAAAUGAAGCGGUGCAACACGCUCGUGCCCAUGAAUUCACUGAUCAGGCCAUGUUCUUCAACAUUCUGAAGCAUCCGGCUCGAAUGAACAGACUAGCAGCCUCUUGAAGACUCAGUUGCUCUGGCAGCCACAUGGCAACCCCUUCCAGGACACGUUCUUUGCUCUAAACACAUGUGCACUAUGUGGCACUGUUUCUCCCAUAGCUGGCAUUCAUGCGUCCAGGAAUCAGGGACUGUAAUUGGGAGCAUUUCCCCACUGAUAAACCUGGAGACCUGCUGCCAAGCUACUGCUCCCUGUUCCCAUGACCCUACACUCACUGCCCUAGAGGUCUUGGUGCUAAAGGAGAAAUGCUUCCAUCCAGAGACACAGCACUGAUUCUUCAACUGAGAGCUGAGACUUCCCCUUGUCACCUCGAGCUUGUCAUGUGUCUAUGGAUGUCUCUCUGUGUGUCCUUCCAACCUGGUCUUCCAUCCCCAGCAAAUACCCUAGCCAGGAAAACCUGACGGCCUCAUCCUGCCUCCUGCACAUGCACUCCUCACCUACAGGGUGCAGAGCCUGCCUGGGAGGUUGGGUUGGGAGAGAGGUCUGGGCAUCUCAGAUCUGGAGACCUGGGCCAGACCUACUGAAUUCUUUGUCCACAUUCCUCCUGAGGCUGAAGGAGAGUGUGACAUAGAUGGGGAAGUAGUUUGUGUCUCACUUCCCCCUCUGCCUGUGUCACUGUGAGCAUCACCACUGCUGUCUCUUGACUGACAGUAAUAGUCAGCUUCAUCUUCAGGCUGGACCCUGCACAGAUCAGGUGAAGAAAGAAAUAUUGCCAUAUAAGAGAAUGAGAGGGGGCUUCAAAGUUUACUGACUUCUCAAGCCAACUCUGUCAUAAUUAUGUUGUCUUCAGUUGUUGGGGAAAAUAUGUAAUAAACAUCUUAAUGUAUAAGUGAAGUUGAAAAAAUAUUAUCAUAAAAAUUGCUGUGUUGUGGGCACUGUGAAAGGGAAGAACAGAAUAUUCCAGUCCCCUCUCCCUUUCUUGAGGGACAUAAGUGGAGGCACAGGUGAGGGUGCAGGUGGGAGGAACUUCCAGGAAGGAGGAGAAGCUGUGUCUGACAGCUCAGGGAAGGGAAGGGGAAAUGUGUGAUCACAGGGAGGUCCAGUGUUUGUGGACAAAGUGCUUUAGGUCCGUUAAAGUGUGCUGGGGUAUGUGUUGGUGGUGGGCAAAGUGCCUCUACCUGUAUUAGAGGAAUAGGCGAUGUCUCCAUGAGCAGGACCCAACACACAUAUACCCUGAAGAAUGUGUACUUGAGAGUGAAGGAUGACACUGUAGGCCAAUGACAAAUAACCUGAAGGUCUCAGGUCCGGGUUGCUAACCCCCCUUGUCUGUUAAAAGCCGUAAUGGCCAGACUCUCCCAUCUGCAGGUGGCUUUGGCAGGUGAUCUCUGUUGCCCUCCUGGUGGCCACUCCACACUGGCUGCUGGAGGUGCUGGGGCCUCCCUUGUAAAGUGGAGAUUCUUAACCUACAGCUCAGAUGCUGAGUCUUGCUCCAUGGACUGCUGCCCCAGGGAGGAAUGACUUUUCUAUGCAUGGCUCCUGCCUGCCUCAUGUCCUGGCAUGAGGUGCCCAGAUUAUUCAUGAAAACACGAACAGGCUCAUUUUGUGGAAGAGGGCACAGGUUUCACUGAGGCAUCCCUGUACCUGUCUCUAAGGUGGUGGGAGGUCAUGCAUGUGGUGUCACAGCUUAGCACUGUGGGACACAGGCUUCAGGGAAUCAUUAUUAUUGAUGCCAAGUAUGGAUUCAAGCCUGAUGUGUGUGGGGCGAAAGGUGACUGGGGACUAAUGCCCCAAAGACAGACAGGACAGCGUCCACAGAGCAGACAUUUAUUCAGACCCAUAUUAUUCUGGCACACAUUACAUCCUGGGAAUUUUGCAUGAACAAAACACACAGUUCCUUCUGAAGCAGUUAUUCUGGAGCUGCUCUAGAGAUGUACAGAAAGAAGAAGCAAGCAGUGAGAUGUGUAUGGGAAGAGCCCAGUAGUGUCCUUGGGGAAAGGUAUAAAGUAUCUGAAAGAACAGGAAAAACCUGAGGGACCUGGGAUUCCAACCCAGUUCAGGGCCUGUGUGGACUUUUCUCCUAAGGUGAGCAUUCUGGGCACAGAAAGUGUGGUCAGGUGUGGUAAGAGGCAGUUUCUAGGUAAUAAGUCAGGAUCUCUUGGGGC